GAUCUUUUUGUUCCUCUUCUUCAUCAUCUUUUUGUGGCUCAGUUCCAGGAUGUUCAUCUCCUUCCUGUCGUCGGAGGCCUGCUGCUCCUUCAGACAAUCCAGCCUGCUCUGCAUCAUGAACUCGCGCCUCCGCCUCUGCUCUUUGGCCUUCACCAGAUGUUGCUUGCGCUCCUCCUUGCUCCAGUAACGCCCCAUCUUCAUCUCGCUCAUGGCGUCAUCAUCGGUGGUCAGGCCACUGCGCUCCUCGCGGAUCUUCAGCGCCCGCUCCCGCAGCAGCCGGUCACGUACCGGCCUCUUGGUGAUGUAGCGCGUCCCAUCACUGCGGAUCUUCACUUUCCAUUCCAUCCUGGGUUCUGCUGAGUUAGAAGAGUUCAAGUCCUUGCACAUGCUCACCAGGCUCAUCUGGCUCUGUGCGUACUCCACUGCUGACUUCUGCUGGAUCAGGUGCAUGUAGCUCUGGUAGUGUUGCGCGUGAGCUGGGAUGUGCGCGUGUUUGUAUGGGGAGUGAUGGUAUGA
rnacentral:lncRNA from 1 species